GGGUUGUGAGGUUAAGCGACUAAGCGUACACGGUGGAUGCCCUGGCAGUCAGAGGCGAUGAAGGACGUGCUAAUCUGCGAAAAGCGUCGGUAAGGUGAUAUGAACCGUUACAGCCGGCGAUGUCCGAAUGGGGAAACCCAGUGCAAUUCGUUGCACUAUCGUUAACUGAAUACAUAGGUUAACGAGGCGAACCGGGGGAACUGAAACAUCUAAGUACCCCGAGGAAAAGAAAUCAACCGAGAUUCCCCCAGUAGCGGCGAGCGAACGGGGAGCAGCCCGGAGUCUGAAUCAGCUUGUGUGUUAGUGGAAGCGUCUGGAAAGUCGCAGGGUACAGGGUGAUACUCCCGUACACUAAAACACACAGGUUGUGAACUCGAAGAGUAGGGCGGGACACGUGGUAUCCUGUCUGAAUAUGGGGGGACCAUCCUCCAAGGCUAAAUACUCCUGACUGACCGAUAGUGAACCAGUACCGUGAGGGAAAGGCGAAAAGAACCCCGGCGAGGGGAGUGAAAAAGAACCUGAAACCGUGUACGUACAAGCAGUAGGAGCCCACUUGUUGGGUGACUGCGUACCUUUUGUAUAAUGGGUCAGCGACUUAUAUUCUGUAGCAAGGUUAACCGUAUAGGGGAGCCGCAGGGAAACCGAGUCUUAACUGGGCGUUAAGUUGCAGGGUAUAGACCCGAAACCCGGUGAUCUAGCCAUGGGCAGGUUGAAGGUUGGGUAACACUAACUGGAGGACCGAACCGACUAAUGUUGAAAAAUUAGCGGAUGACUUGUGGCUGGGGGUGAAAGGCCAAUCAAACCGGGAGAUAGCUGGUUCUCCCCGAAAGCUAUUUAGGUAGCGCCUCGUGAACUCAUCUUCGGGGGUAGAGCACUGUUUCGGCUAGGGGGUCAUCCCGACUUACCAACCCGAUGCAAACUACGAAUACCGAAGAAUGUUAUCACGGGAGACACACGGCGGGUGCUAACGUCCGUCGUGAAGAGGGAAACAACCCAGACCGCCAGCUAAGGUCCCAAAGUCAUGGUUAAGUGGGAAACGAUGUGGGAAGGCCCAGACAGCCAGGAUGUUGGCUUAGAAGCAGCCAUCAUUUAAAGAAAGCGUAAUAGCUCACUGGUCGAGUCGGCCUGCGCGGAAGAUGUAACGGGGCUAAACCAUGCACCGAAGCUGCGGCAGCGACACUAUGUGUUGUUGGGUAGGGGAGCGUUCUGUAAGCCGUUGAAGGUGGCCUGUGAGGGUUGCUGGAGGUAUCAGAAGUGCGAAUGCUGACAUAAGUAACGAUAAUGCGGGUGAAAAACCCGCACGCCGGAAGACCAAGGGUUCCUGUCCAACGUUAAUCGGGGCAGGGUGAGUCGACCCCUAAGGCGAGGCCGAAAGGCGUAGUCGAUGGGAAACAGGUUAAUAUUCCUGUACUCGGUGUUACUGCGAAGGGGGGACGGAGAAGGCUAUGUUGGCCGGGCGACGGUUGUCCCGGUUUAAGCAUGUAGGCGGAUGUUCCAGGUAAAUCCGGAACGUUACUAACGCUGAGGUGUGAUGACGAGGCACUACGGUGCUGAAGUGACAAAUGCCCUGCUUCCAGGAAAAGCCUCUAAGCAUCAGGUAACAUCAAAUCGUACCCCAAACCGACACAGGUGGUCAGGUAGAGAAUACCAAGGCGCUUGAGAGAACUCGGGUGAAGGAACUAGGCAAAAUGGUGCCGUAACUUCGGGAGAAGGCACGCUGAUGGUAGGUGAAGUGACUUGCUCAUGGAGCUGAAAUCAGUCGAAGAUACCAGCUGGCUGCAACUGUUUAUUAAAAACACAGCACUGUGCAAACACGAAAGUGGACGUAUACGGUGUGACGCCUGCCCGGUGCCGGAAGGUUAAUUGAUGGGGUUAUCCGUAAGGAGAAGCUCUUGAUCGAAGCCCCGGUAAACGGCGGCCGUAACUAUAACGGUCCUAAGGUAGCGAAAUUCCUUGUCGGGUAAGUUCCGACCUGCACGAAUGGCGUAAUGAUGGCCAGGCUGUCUCCACCCGAGACUCAGUGAAAUUGAACUCGCUGUGAAGAUGCAGUGUACCCGCGGCAAGACGGAAAGACCCCGUGAACCUUUACUAUAGCUUGACACUGAACACUGGUCCUUGAUGUGUAGGAUAGGUGGGAGGCUUUGAAGUGUGGACGCCAGUCUGCAUGGAGCCAUCCUUGAAAUACCACCCUUUAAUGGCUGGUGUUCUAACGUGGGCCCCUGAUCGGGGUUGCGGACAGUGUCUGGUGGGUAGUUUGACUGGGGCGGUCUCCUCCUAAAGAGUAACGGAGGAGCACGAAGGUCAGCUAAUCCUGGUCGGACAUCAGGAGGUUAGUGCAAUGGCAUAAGCUGGCUUGACUGCGAGCGUGACGGCGCGAGCAGGUGCGAAAGCAGGUCAUAGUGAUCCGGUGGUUCUGAAUGGAAGGGCCAUCGCUCAACGGAUAAAAGGUACUCCGGGGAUAACAGGCUGAUACCGCCCAAGAGUUCAUAUCGACGGCGGUGUUUGGCACCUCGAUGUCGGCUCAUCACAUCCUGGGGCUGAAGUAGGUCCCAAGGGUAUGGCUGUUCGCCAUUUAAAGUGGUACGCGAGCUGGGUUUAGAACGUCGUGAGACAGUUCGGUCCCUAUCUGCCGUGGGCGCUGGAGAAUUGAGGGGGGCUGCUCCUAGUACGAGAGGACCGGAGUGGACGCAUCACUGGUGUUCGGGUUGUCAUGCCAAUGGCAUUGCCCGGUAGCUAAAUGCGGAAGAGAUAAGUGCUGAAAGCAUCUAAGCACGAAACUUGCCCCGAGAUGAGUUCUCCCUGACCCUUUAAGGGUCCUGAAGGAACGUUGAAGACGACGACGUUGAUAGGCCGGGUGUGUAAGCGCAGCGAUGCGUUGAGCUAACCGGUACUAAUGAACCGUGAGGCUUAACCUUACAACGCCGAAG
rnacentral:rRNA from 1 species